AACGAACGCUGGCGGCAGGCCUAACACAUGCAAGUCGAGCGAAGCCUUCGGGCUUAGCGGCGGACGGGUGAGUAACGCGUGGGAACGUGCCCUUUGGUACGGAAUAGCCCCGGGAAACUGGGAGUAAUACCGUAUGUGGUCGAGAGACGAAAGAUUUAUCGCCAAAGGAUCGGCCCGCGUUGGAUUAGGUAGUUGGUGGGGUAAUGGCCUACCAAGCCGACGAUUCAUAGCUGGUUUGAGAGGAUGAUCAGCCACACUGGGACUGAGACACGGCCCAGACUCCUACGGGAUGCAGCAGUGGGGAAUCUUAGACACUGGGGGAAACCCUGAUCUAGCCAUGCCGCGUGAUCGAUGAAGGCCUUAGGGUUGUAAAGAUCUUUCAGUGGGGAAGAUAAUGACUGUACCCACAGAAGAAGCCCCGGCUAACUCCGUGCCAGCCGCCGCGGUAAAAC
rnacentral:rRNA from 1 species